ensembl:antisense 4930512B01Rik RIKEN cDNA 4930512B01 gene
GACAUCGCGGUCAAGGCUGGGAGUCUACAGGUGGCUGCCAUGGGUGACCUAAUUUCAGUUGUCUGUUUCAUUCCCUCGAGCUCAAGAUGUAGCCAGCAUCCAAAAACGAGCCGAGCUCAGCCGGAAUCCUUUUCAUAACGUCCCUCCCCAUGCCUGGAUACUGAAGUGUGCUCUCUACAUUUUCCUCCGCAGUUUCAAAGAUUCUGGCCUUUGGUCCAUUUUGAACUGACUCUUCGACAGGGCAGAGCAACAGAAGAGCAACUAAGACACUGGAUAAGAACUACAAGACAAAAGUCUAAAGAGUCAACGUGUCAAGUUUACCAAACAUCUACAUACUUAACGAGCUGCAUGAACUUUAGGUUAUUACUUCAGGACUAACUUUACUAAAGUGGAAUCAUAUUUGAUUCCUUCAGCAUCACUGCAGUGGUAAGAACUGCAGUGUAAUUCUACAAUGCAGGCAACAGACAAAAGACCGAGCUUAUAUCCUAGGUAUGAACUGACUCACAGCCUGACUCAUGAAGCAUCCUGUUGACAUGAUUAGGAGAACAUCUCACAGACACAUCGCGCCAUAAGAUGACAGAGUCACAGGAUCUGGGAUGCGGUGUACUCCAGGAAUGCUGGGAUGCUGGUCGUUACCUAUAGAGGAGGAUGUCUCCGCCACAGGAACACAACUUGGGCUACUCUGUCUUCUGAGGACCUGAGGUGCUCUCGCCUCCAGAUCAGGGCAACGUUUGAUGGUUGAUGAUUUUUCUUCAUCUGGGAGGCUGUCUUCAGGAUACAGCUAAAAGAAGAACAACAAUGUGUGCACCUGGACAGUGGAUGACGAGAAGCAGGAGGAGAAGAGACAGCCCCGACAAGACUUUAGCAGAGGGACAGGGUCAGUCUCACAUCACCAUGCCCAGGAUAUGAUGGAAAGUUCUGUGUUUCAAGGACUGAAAAGAACGGCAUAUUGCUAACAAACAAACAAACAAACAAACACCCAAAAAG